GGGCCCAGCCCAGAGCCCGUCCCGGGCGCCGGCGAGCGAGCUCCGGCCGCGGCGGCAGCGCCAUCCCGGGCCGCGGGCAGCCGCGCCUCGCCCUCCGCGCCCGGAGCUGCCUUCGCCUUCCCGCGGCCCCGCCGCAGCCGGCCCGCGGCGCGCCACGGACGCUGUCCCCUCGGCGGAGCAGAGACCCCUUCCCCUUCUUAGGGGGUGUCGUCUCUGGGAUCGCUGAGCGCUAGGGGUUCAGGAGGCGGGGACGGGAGCGCCGUGACACGCCAUGGCUCAAGCGGCCAAACAGCUGAAGAAAAUCAAAGACAUCGAGGCGCAGGCCCUCCAGGAGCAGAAGGAGAAGGAGGAAUCCAACAGGAAGCGGAGAAACCGCUCCCGUGACCGAAAGAAGAAGGCCGAUGCUGCUACCAGCUUUCUGAGAGCAGCAAGAUCAGGUAACUUGGACAAAGCUUUGGAUCACCUGCGGAAUGGGGUAGACAUUAACACCUGUAACCAGAAUGGGUUGAAUGGCUUGCAUCUGGCCUCUAAGGAAGGCCAUGUGAAAAUGGUGGUUGAACUUCUGCACAAAGAAAUCAUUCUAGAAACAACAACCAAGAAGGGGAACACGGCCCUGCACAUCGCCGCCCUGGCCGGGCAGGACGAGGUGGUCCGGGAGCUUGUCAACUAUGGCGCCAACGUCAAUGCCCAGUCACAGAAAGGUUUUACACCCCUGUACAUGGCAGCACAAGAGAACCACUUGGAAGUGGUUAAGUUUUUACUGGAAAAUGGAGCUAACCAGAACGUAGCCACGGAAGACGGGUUCACGCCUCUGGCGGUGGCCCUGCAGCAGGGCCACGAAAACGUCGUCGCGCACCUCAUCAACUACGGCACCAAGGGAAAGGUGCGCCUCCCGGCCCUGCACAUCGCGGCCCGCAACGACGACACGCGCACGGCUGCGGUGCUGCUGCAGAAUGACCCCAACCCGGACGUGCUUUCCAAGACGGGAUUCACGCCCCUGCACAUUGCGGCCCACUACGAGAACCUCAACGUGGCCCAGUUACUCCUCAACAGGGGAGCCAGCGUCAAUUUCACGCCACAGAAUGGCAUCACGCCCCUGCACAUCGCCUCCCGCAGGGGCAACGUGAUCAUGGUGCGGCUACUGCUGGAUCGGGGAGCCCAGAUAGAAACCAAGACCAAGGACGAAUUGACACCUCUCCACUGUGCAGCUCGAAAUGGGCACGUGCGAAUCUCAGAGAUCCUGCUGGACCACGGGGCACCAAUCCAAGCCAAAACCAAGAACGGCCUGUCCCCAAUUCACAUGGCGGCUCAGGGAGACCACCUCGACUGUGUCCGGCUCCUGUUGCAAUACGACGCAGAGAUAGAUGACAUCACCCUGGACCACCUGACCCCGCUCCACGUGGCUGCCCACUGCGGACACCACAGGGUGGCCAAGGUCCUUCUGGAUAAAGGGGCCAAACCCAACUCCAGAGCCCUGAAUGGCUUUACCCCCUUACACAUCGCCUGCAAAAAGAACCACGUUCGUGUCAUGGAGCUGCUGCUGAAGACGGGAGCCUCAAUUGACGCGGUCACCGAGUCUGGCCUGACACCUCUCCACGUGGCCUCCUUCAUGGGGCACCUUCCCAUCGUGAAGAACCUCCUGCAGCGGGGGGCAUCGCCCAACGUCUCCAACGUGAAAGUGGAGACCCCGCUACAUAUGGCAGCCAGAGCUGGGCACACGGAAGUGGCCAAAUAUUUACUCCAGAACAAAGCCAAAGUCAACGCCAAGGCCAAGGAUGACCAGACCCCACUUCACUGUGCAGCUCGCAUCGGCCACACAAACAUGGUGAAGCUCCUGCUGGAAAACAAUGCCAACCCCAACCUGGCCACCACUGCUGGGCACACGCCCCUGCACAUCGCAGCUCGUGAGGGCCACGUGGAAACAGUCCUGGCCCUUCUGGAAAAGGAAGCAUCCCAGGCCUGCAUGACCAAGAAAGGAUUUACCCCUCUGCACGUGGCGGCCAAGUACGGGAAGGUGCGGGUGGCAGAGCUGCUGCUGGAGCGGGACGCACACCCAAAUGCUGCUGGAAAAAAUGGCCUGACCCCCCUGCACGUGGCCGUCCAUCACAACAACCUGGACAUCGUCAAGCUGCUGCUUCCCCGGGGUGGCUCCCCGCACAGCCCCGCCUGGAAUGGCUACACCCCUUUGCACAUCGCUGCCAAGCAGAACCAGGUGGACGUGGCCCGCAGUCUGCUGCAGUAUGGGGGCUCAGCAAAUGCCGAGUCGGUGCAAGGUGUGACGCCCCUUCACCUGGCCGCCCAGGAGGGCCACGCAGAGAUGGUGGCUCUGCUGCUCUCGAAACAAGCCAAUGGCAACCUGGGGAACAAGAGUGGACUCACUCCUCUCCAUCUGGUAGCACAGGAAGGCCACGUUCCAGUGGCAGACAUGCUGAUCAAACACGGCGUCAUGGUGGAUGCCACCACCCGGAUGGGCUACACUCCCCUCCAUGUGGCCAGUCACUACGGAAACAUCAAGCUGGUGAAGUUUCUGCUGCAGCACCAGGCAGAUGUAAACGCCAAGACCAAGCUAGGAUACAGCCCCCUGCACCAGGCAGCCCAGCAGGGACACACAGACGUCGUGACUCUGCUUCUGAAAAACGGUGCUUCCCCAAACGAGGUCAGCUCGGAUGGAACCACACCUCUGGCCAUAGCCAAGCGCUUGGGCUACAUUUCUGUCACCGACGUGCUCAAGGUCGUCACGGAUGAAACCAGUUUCGUGUUAGUCAGUGAUAAGCAUCGGAUGAGUUUCCCUGAGACAGUUGAUGAGAUCCUGGAUGUCUCGGAAGAUGAAGGAACUGCUCAUAUAACUAUAAUGGGGGAAGAACUCAUCGGCUCCAAGCCUGAGAGGCCGGAUUCCAGGGAUGUCGAUGAAGAGAAGGAGCUCCUGGAUUUUGUGCCAAAGCUAGACCAAGUGGUGGAAUCUCCAGCCAUCCCCAGGAUUCCCUGUGUCACACCUGAGACGGUGGUGAUCAGGUCAGAAGAGCAGGAGCAGGCAUCUAAAGAGUAUGAUGAGGACUCCCUUAUCCCCAGCAGUCCGGCCACCGAGACCUCAGACAACAUCAGCCCGGUGGCCAGCCCGGUGCACACAGGGUUUCUGGUGAGCUUCAUGGUCGACGCCCGGGGUGGUUCCAUGAGAGGAAGUCGCCACAACGGCCUGCGAGUGGUGAUCCCACCACGGACAUGCGCAGCGCCCACCCGCAUCACCUGCCGCCUGGUCAAGCCCCAGAAGCUCAGCACGCCACCCCCACUGGCCGAGGAGGAGGGCCUGGCCAGCAGGAUCAUCGCGCUGGGGCCCACAGGGGCACAGUUCCUGAGCCCUGUAAUCGUGGAGAUCCCGCACUUUGCCUCCCAUGGCCGUGGAGACCGGGAGCUCGUGGUUCUGAGGAGUGAAAACGGCUCCGUGUGGAAGGAGCACAGGAGCCGCUAUGGAGAGAGCUACCUGGAUCAGAUCCUCAACGGGAUGGACGAAGAGCUGGGGAGCCUGGAGGAGCUGGAGAAGAAGAGGGUGUGCCGAAUCAUCACCACUGACUUCCCGCUGUACUUUGUGAUCAUGUCGCGGCUCUGCCAGGACUACGACACCAUCGGUCCCGAAGGGGGCUCCCUGAAGAGCAAGCUGGUGCCCCUGGUACAGGCAACGUUCCCGGAGAAUGCAGUCACCAAGAGAGUGAAGCUGGCUCUGCAGGCCCAGCCUGUCCCAGAUGAGCUUGUCACUAAGCUCCUGGGCAACCAGGCCACAUUCAGCCCCAUUGUCACCGUGGAGCCCCGGCGCCGGAAGUUCCACCGCCCCAUCGGACUUCGGAUCCCGCUACCUCCUUCCUGGACCGACAACCCGAGGGACAGCGGGGAGGGAGACACCACCAGCCUGCGCCUGCUUUGCAGCGUCAUUGGAGGAACAGACCAAGCUCAGUGGGAAGACAUAACAGGAACCACCAAACUUGUAUAUGCCAACGAGUGCGCCAACUUCACCACCAACGUCUCCGCCAGGUUUUGGCUGUCAGACUGUCCUCGGACCGCUGAGGCUGUGAACUUCGCCACCCUGCUGUACAAAGAGCUCACCGCAGUGCCCUACAUGGCCAAAUUCGUCAUCUUUGCCAAGAUGAAUGACCCCCGAGAGGGGCGCCUGCGCUGCUACUGCAUGACGGAUGAUAAAGUGGACAAGACCCUGGAGCAGCAUGAGAACUUCGUGGAGGUGGCCCGGAGCAGGGACAUAGAGGUGUUGGAAGGAAUGUCCCUCUUUGCAGAACUCUCCGGGAACUUGGUGCCUGUGAAGAAAGCUGCCCAGCAGCGGAGCUUCCACUUCCAGUCAUUUCGGGAGAACCGUCUGGCCAUACCUGUAAAGGUGAGGGACAGCAGUCGAGAGCCGGGAGGGUCCCUGUCAUUUCUGCGCAAGGCGAUGAAGUACGAGGACACCCAGCACAUACUCUGCCACCUGAACAUCACCAUGCCCCCCUGCAGCAAGGGAAGCGGAGCUGAAGAUAGGAGAAGGACCCCCACACCCCUGGCCCUGCGAUACAGCAUUCUCAGUGAGUCCACACCAGGUCUUCUCAGCGGGACAGACCAGGCAGAGAAGAUGGCUGUUAUCUCAGAGCACCUCGGUCUCAGCUGGGCAGAGUUGGCCCGGGAGCUGCAGUUCAGUGUGGAAGACAUCAAUAGGAUCCGAGUGGAAAAUCCCAACUCCCUGUUGGAGCAGAGCGUGGCCUUGCUGAACCUCUGGGUCAUCCGUGAAGGCCAAAACACAGACAUGGAAAAUCUGUGCACAGCCCUGCAGAGCAUCGACCGUGGCGAGAUCGUGAACAUGCUGGAGGGUUCUGGCCGACAGAGCCGCAACUUGAAGCCAGACAGGCGGCACACGGACCGCGACUACUCGCUGUCACCCUCCCAGAUGAAUGGUUACUCCUCGCUGCAGGACGAGCUGCUGUCCCCUGCCUCCCUGGGCUGUGCGCUUUCCUCUCCGCUACGUGCAGACCAGUACUGGAACGAGGUGGCCGUCCUAGACGCCAUCCCCUUGGCGGCCACGGAGCAUGACACCAUGCUGGAGAUGUCUGACAUGCAGGUGUGGUCCGCGGGCCUCACGCCUUCCCUGGUCACUGCUGAGGACUCCUCUCUGGAGUGCAGCAAGGCCGAGGACUCUGACGCCACAGGUCACGAGUGGAAGUUGGAGGGGGCACUCUCAGAGGAACCGCGGGGCCCCGAGUUGGGCUCUCUGGAACUUGUGGAGGACGACACAGUGGAUUCAGAUGCCACAAAUGGCCUUAUCGAUUUGCUUGAACAGGAGGAAGGUCAGAGGUCAGAAGAGAAGCUGCCAGGUUCUAAGAGGCAGGAUGACGCGACAGGUGCAGGGCAGGACUCAGAGAAUGAAGUGUCUCUUGUUUCAGGCCAUCAGAGGGGGCAAGCCCGAGUCACAUACUCCCCCACCGUGAGUCAGGUGACGGAGAGGAGUCAGGACAGGUCACCUGGCUUGCUAAGUUUUCCCUAAAGAAAGGACACGGUUCUUGUGCCCCCAGGCAGCUGUUCCAGGCCCCCACCCCAAGGAGCUCAGGACUGGCCAGACUGCAGGACUGGGAUCCAGACGGCUCCAUUGUCUCAUACCUGCAAGAUGCUGCACAAGGUUCCUGGCGAGAGGAGGUCACGCAAGACCCACACUUAUUCCAGAGAACGAGCACCACGACCGAAGGGCUAGAGCCCAGUGGAUCUCAGGAGUCCGAGAACGUCCUGGUGUCUGUAAGCGAGCACACACGGACAGAACAGCCCGAGGCUGAGAGCUCCCAGGCCGAUAGGGACCAGAGGCAGCAAGGUCAAGGAGAGCAGGUGCAGGAGGCCAGGAACACCUUCACCCAGGUGGUGCAGGGGAAUGAGUUUCAGAAUAUUCCAGGGGAGCAGGUGACAGAGGAACAGUUCACGGAUGAGCAGGGCAACAUUGUCACCAAGAAGAUCAUUCGCAAGGUGGUUCGGCAGAUAGACUUGUCCAGCGCCGACGCUGCCCAGGAGCACGAGGAGGUGACUGUCACGGGGCCCCUGGAGGAUCCCAGUGAGCUGGAGGUCGAUAUUGAUUCCUUUAUGAAACAUGCCAAGGUACUGAGGCUCCCGCGGCCCUGGGGGACCCAGCGCCAUCACUGCCGCCUCGCUCUGCCCAUCUUGCCGGGCCAUCUGCGUGACACCUCCCUCCACUCACCUCUUCAUGAGCUCCCUCCAGUCUCCCUUCUCCCCUGUGGGCAGUGUGUCUGCCGCCUCCGUGUAGCCUCCUUUCAAUUUUCUGCCUGUGUUCUGCCCAUCUUUGCCAUCUAUCCUGCUUUCUGUCUCUGCUGCUGUCUGCAGGUGGAGCUGAGAGGGAGUGGCCUACAACCGGACCUGAUAGAGGGCAGGAAAGGGGCGCAGAUAGUGAAGCGGGCCAGCCUGAAAAGGGGGAAACAGUGACCCCGAGCCGCUCUCCUUGGAGUAGCCUCUCGGGAGGAUCACACCUCGACACCCAACCCCUGAACCCCACACACUCUGCCAUGCACACAGGAGGAGAGCUGGACCUGAGGGCCACCGCAGCGGUGCACACGUUCCUCUGGGCUGACGGCAUGACCUCUGUAAGGGACUCCCGCUAGUCCCCUCUUCGCAUGAAUGACUGACUGUAGACGCAUGACCUCCAGGCUUCAAUCCUGCCUCUUGCAAUGACAGCUGAUCUGUCGGAACCAGGACACAAAAGGAGCAAGAAGCGGGGAGAGAGAGGGAUAGAAAACAGGCGCGGGAGAGCGUGUGAACGCAAAAGUGAAUGAGGGCUUUUUGUGGCUGGGGAUGGGUUUUGGUUUUUGGGGGUUUUUUUUUUUAGUUGUUUUGACUUUGUACAGGGUACUUUUUCCUGACCUCAUCUGUCAGAAAUCCAUGUGGGCUUCCUGGAAAGAAAAAAAAGAAAGAAAGAAAGAAAACUAGGCAUGAAAUCAGUUUAGCCACCUUAAUCUUAAGCCAUGUCCUCAUCUGCCCACCCUCCCCAACCCAACCUACACACCUCCAUUCCACUUGUGACACCCCCUCCACUCCCUGGUGACGCUCCUGCCAGAUCGCUCUACAUGACAUUCAGGACACACACACACACACACACACACACACACACACACCACUCGCCUCCACUGAAUCUACACACAGAUUUUACUGUGACUUCUGAAGCUGUAUAGACUCUGCUGUGGAUAAACUGGAAUUUUUUA